rnacentral:misc_RNA from 1 species
AACGCACAUUGCGCUCUUUUGGAUUUAUCCUGGGAGCAUGCCUGUUUGACAAUAUUGUCCAAGAUACAAUUGGAAAGUUUUACUUUAACCAAUUGGUCAAGAUGAUGGGGCAAUUCACCUUGGUGUGAGUGCCUUUUAAGCUAAUUGAAAAGUCUUAAUGACUGUGAAAUGAUGUGAUAGUAAAAUGUUCAUUAUAUACACAGGCAAGGCGUAUUUCAUAAUCCCUUGGGAUGCAUUUAAGCUCACAAGUUGUUGUCAAAUCAGGUAGGAUUACCCGCUGAACUUAA